ACUGUGUGUUACAGUGAGCAGCUGUUCACUAAACUACUGCUGUGUGCCUGGCCGGAUCUCGGGAACUUUAACACGAUGUCCCCAAGGAGAACACACUCCGGCAGAGUCCAGGAAAGUCAGGAAGACAAAAAUGGAGGGAGCAGAGUUGUCCGCUACAUUGUUGUACAUGUUCUCCAGGCCGCUCUCCAGUCUCCGUGAGAGUCUGAGGAAGUGUGGGGACGCCAGCGUCAUGGUACUAGGUACCAGAAUCCUUCCUGACAGAAUCCUUCUGGACUCCUAAACAACCAGAGCACAGCAGUAAUAGUGAAUAAGCUGACAGGUGUUCUGGGGAGCUGUGACGUCAUCAGGAACCCCCGAGGCCGACCUCCUAACAGCAUUCGACUCUCAACCCCUGGUUAUUGCAGUUCACCACAGGGCAGCUGUCACUGUUCCACAGCUUCUACUGCAGGAAAGCUAAGGAGCCCUCCUCCUCCUCGCUGCCUUUGUCU